rnacentral:rRNA from 1 species
AUUGAACGCUGGCGGCAUGCCUUACACAUGCAAGUCGAACGGUAACAGGUCUUCGGAUGCUGACGAGUGGCGUACGGGUGAGUAAUACAUCGGAACGUGCCUAGUAGUGGGGGAUAACUACUCGAAAGAGUGGCUAAUACCGCAUGAGAUCUACGGAUGAAAGCAGGGGAUCGCAAGACCUUGUGCUACUAGAGCGGCCGAUGGCAGAUUAGGUAGUUGGUGGGUUAAAAGCUUACCAAGCCGACGAUCUGUAGCUGGUCUGAGAGGACGAUCAGCCACACUGGGACUGAGAAACGGCCCAGACUCCUACGGGAGGCAGCAGUGGGUAAUUUUGGACAAUGGGCGCAAGCCUGAUCCAGCAAUGCCGCGUGCAGGAUGAAGGCCUUCGGGUUGUAAACUGCUUUUGUACGGAACGAAAAGCCCCGGGUUAAUACCCUGGGGUCAUGACGGUACCGUAAGAAUAAGCACCGGCUAACUACGUGCCAGCAGCCGCCGUAA